rnacentral:rRNA from 1 species
UACGUAGGGGGCAAGCGUUGUCCGGAUUUAUUGGGCGUAAAGAGCGUGUAGGCGGCCAUACAGGUCAGCUGUGAAAACUCGAGGCUCAACCUCGAGACGUCGGUUGAAACCGUUUGGCUAGAGUCCGGAAGAGGAGAGUGGAAUUCCCGGUGUAGCGGUGAAAUGCGCAGAUAUCGGGAAGAGCACCCGUGGCGAAGGCGGCUCUCUGGGACGGUACUGACGCUGAGACGCGAAAGCGUGGGGAGCGAACAGG